GUUAUAGGGUCAAGCGAACAAGUGCAUGUGGUGGAUGCCUUGGCGAUCACAGGCGAUGAAGGACGCGGUAGCCUGCGAAAAGCUACGGGGAGCUGGCAAACAAGCUUUGAUCCGUAGAUGUCCGAAUGGGGAAACCCACUCCUUUUGGAGUAUCCAUGGCUGAAUACAUAGGCCAUGCGAAGCGAACGCGGUGAACUGAAACAUCUAAGUAACCGCAGGAAAAGAAAUCAACCGAGAUUCCCAAAGUAGUGGCGAGCGAAAUGGGAUGAGCCUUGCACUCUUUAUUUGUAUUGUUAGCCGAACGCUCUGGAAAGUGCGGCCAUAGCAGGUGAUAGCCCUGUAGGCGAAAACAGUAUGAAAGAACUAGGUGUGCGACAAGUAGGGCGGGACACGUGAAAUCCUGUCUGAAGAUGGGGGGACCAUCCUCCAAGGCUAAAUACUCGUGAUCGACCGAUAGUGAACCAGUACCGUGAGGGAAAGGCGAAAAGAACCCCGGGAGGGGAGUGAAAUAGAUCCUGAAACCGCAUGCAUACAAACAGUCGGAGCCUCGCAAGGGGUGACGGCGUACCUUUUGUAUAAUGGGUCAGCGACUUACGUUCAGUAGCAAGCUUAACCGUAUAGGGCAGGCGUAGCGAAAGCGAGUCCGAAUAGGGCGUUCAGUUGCUGGGCGUAGACCCGAAACCAGGUGAUCUAUCCAUGGCCAGGAUGAAGGUGCGGUAACACGUACUGGAGGUCCGAACCCACUAACGUUGAAAAGUUAGGGGAUGAGCUGUGGAUAGGGGUGAAAGGCUAAACAAACCUGGAAAUAGCUGGUUCUC
rnacentral:rRNA from 1 species